ACGCACGCUGGCGGCAUGCCUAACCCAUGCAAGUCGAACGAGACCUUCGGGUCUAGUGGCGCACGGGUGCGUAACGCGUGGGAAUCUACCCUCAGGUUCGGAAUAACUCAGAGAAAUUUGAGCUAAUACCGGAUGAUGACGUAAGUCCAAAGAUUUAUCGCCUGAGGAUGAGCCCGCGUAGGAUUAGGUAGUUGGUGAGGUAAAGGCUCACCAAGCCGACGAUCCUUAGCUGGUCUGAGAGGAUGAUCAGCCACACUGGGACUGAGACACGGCCCAGACUCCUACGGGAGGCAGCAGUGGGGAAUAUUGGACAAUGGGCGAAAGCCUGAUCCAGCAAUGCCGCGUGAGUGAUGAAGGCCUUAGGGUUGUAAAGCUCUUUUACCCGGGAUGAUAAUGACAGUACCGGGAGAAUAAGCUCCGGCUAACUCCGUG
rnacentral:rRNA from 1 species